GCGUUCGUGAGGUCAACGGUAGCCUGCCUGGUUUCCACCCAGGUCGCGCGGGUUCGAACCCCGCCGGACGCU
rnacentral:tRNA from 1 species